CAGUCGCCGCGGGAAUACGAAGGGUGCAAGCGUUACUCGGAGUUACUGGGCGUAAAGCGUGCGUAGGUGGUGGUUUAAGUCCGUUGUGAAAGCCCUGGGCUCAACCUGGGAAUUGCAGUGGAUACUGGGUCACUAGAGUGUGGUAGAGGAUAGUGGAAUUUCCGGUGUAGCAGUGAAAUGCGUAGAGAUCGGAAGGAACAUCUGUGGCGAAGGCGACUAUCUGGGCCAACACUGACACUGAGGCACGAAAGCGUGGGGAGCAAACAGGAUUAGAUACCCCUGUAGUCCCUGUCUCUUAACA
rnacentral:rRNA from 1 species